rnacentral:rRNA from 1 species
GAAUCUUCCACAAUGGACGCAAGUCUGAUGGAGCAACGCCGCGUGAGUGAAGAAGGUUUUCGGAUCGUAAAGCUCUGUUGUUGGUGAAGAAGGAUAGAGGCAGUAACUGGUCUUUAUUUGACGGUAAUCAACCAGAAAGUCACGGCUAACUACGUGCCAGCAGCCGCGGUAAUACGUAGGUGGCAAGCGUUGUCCGGAUUUAUUGGGCGUAAAGCGAGCGCAGGCGGAAUGAUAAGUCUGAUGUGAAAGCCCACGGCUCAACCGUGGAACUGCAUCGGAAACUGUCAUUCUUGAGUGCAGAAGAGGAGAGUGGAACUCCAUGUGUAGCGGUGGAAUGCGUAGAUAUAUGGAAGAACACCAGUGGCGAAGGCGGCUCUCUGGUCUGCAACUGACGCUGAGGCUCGAAAGCAUGGGUAGCGAACAGGAUUAGAUACCCUGGUAGUCCAUGCCGUAAACGAUGAGCGCUAGGUGUUGGGGACUUUCCGGUCCUCAGUGCCGCAGCAAACGCAUUAAGCGCUCCGCCUGGGGAGUACGACCGCAAGGUUGAAAC